GCAUAUCAAUAAGCGGAGGAAAAGAAACCAACAGGGAUUGCCUUAGUAACGGCGAGUGAAGCGGCAACAGCUCAAAUUUGAAAUCUGGCCUUCUGGUCCGAGUUGUAAUUUGCAGAGGAUGCUUCGGGCGCGGUGCCUUCCAAGUCCCCUGGAACGGGGCGCCGGAGAGGGUGAGAGCCCCGUACGGUUGGCGGCCAAGCCUGUGUGAAGCUCCUUCGACGAGUCGAGUAGUUUGGGAAUGCUGCUCUAAGCGGGAGGUAGACCCCUUCUAAAGCUAAAUACCGGCCAGAGACCGAUAGCGCACAAGUAGAGUGAUCGAAAGAUGAAAAGCACUUUGAAAAGAGGGUUAAACAGCACGUGAAAUUGUUGAAAGGGAAGCGCUUGUGACCAGACGUGCGCCGGGGUGUUCAGCGGGCGUUCUCGCCCGUGCACUCGCCUCGGCGCAGGCCAGCGUCGGUUUGGGCGGGGGGAUAAAGGCGUCUGGAAUGUGGCUCCCUCGGGAGUGUUAUAGCCAGUCGUGCCAUGCCUCCGCCUGGACCGAGGUACGCGUUCUGCAAGGACGCUGGCGUAAUGGUCUCCAGCGACCCGUCUUGAAACACGGACCAAGGAGUCGAGGUUUUGCGCGAGUGUUUGGGUGGAAAACCCGCACGCGUAAUGAAAGUGAACGUAGGUGAGAGCUUCGGCGCAUCACCGACCGAUCCUGAUGUUUUCGGAUGGAUUUGAGUAAGAGCGUAGGGCCUCGGACCCGAAAGAUGGUGAACUAUGCUUGGAUAGGGUGAAGCCAGAGGAAACUCUGGUGGAGGCUCGCAGCGGUUCUGACGUGCAAAUCGAUCGUCAAAUCUGAGCAUGGGGGCGAAAGACUAAUCGAACCAUCUAGUAGCUGGUUACCGCCGA
rnacentral:rRNA from 1 species